rnacentral:lncRNA from 1 species
CAAACAUGAAAUUUACGGAAAAUUCUCAUCACCUUAGACUAUCCCGGGUAUUGAAAUUAUAGGUAAAUUUUAGAAGCUAAUACUUCCUCCUUCGCCUUUUCACCUCAUUUGCCGCUUCUCUCCCAUUACGAGAGAGUGGCUAUCAAAGAAAAAAAUCAAGAAUCUACCAGACAAUAGAUACACCAGAAAAAUGUCAAAGGCUAAAAUUCUUGCAGGUUUGAUUCUAAUCACCUUCAUCGUUUCUUCGCAAGCCAAAGUUUUCCAUGACACCCCAAGAAACUUACUCAAGAAGCGGGUGGGGAGAUCAUUCGACAGCCUAACCCGCCUCCCCCCGCCGCCGUUUGUGCCCAGAUACGACGAGCAUCAGGCGGCGUAUGUCAAAGCCCACAAUAAACUCAGACGGAAAGUUGGCGUCCCACCAUUGAAAUGGGACGCGAAUUUAACCGCGGCAGCGUAUUCAUGGGCCCAGCAGCGCAAGGUUGAUUGCAAUUACAAAUACCAAGGGUGUGAACCCAUUGAAUCCUGUUGCUUGAAGGUCAAUUUAUAAUUGUUGGUUAGUUUUCUUUUAGGUUAUAUCUAUACUAAUAAUUUUGGCUUUUAAGCGAAGCCAAACGUCCAAAUGGAACAAGAUUGUUCCUUCGUCUAUGCUUAUUUUUCCUUCGAGGAUGGAGUGUAGGAAUGGUUAUUGUGUAAUAUGUAUUAAUUCGCUUUUGUUUGCAUGUAAUGAAUAGGAUCUAAUAUUCAAUGAUAUUGUUAGG